CCUACGGGUGGCAGCAGUGAGGAAUAUUGGUCAAUGGGCGCGAGCCUGAACCAGCCAAGCCGCGUGCGGGAAGAAGGUACUGUGUAUCGUAAACUUCUUUUGUCAGGGGGUAAUUGCAGAUACUAGUACCCGUAUGAAGGUACCUUAUGAAUAAGCAUCGGCUAACUCCGUGCCAGCAGCCGCGGUAAUACGGGGAAUCCGAACGUUAUCCGGAUUUAUUGGGUUAAAAGGGUGCGAAGGCGUCCUGUUAAGUAAGCGGGAAAAGCCCGGGGCUCAACACGGACGUGCCGUUGAAACUGGCGGGCUAGAGUUGGGUAGAGGUACGCGGAAUGCGAGGUGUAGCGGUGAAAUGCUUAGAGAUCGCGCAGAACCCCGAUUGCGAAGGCAGCGUACCGGGUCCACACUGACGCUGAGGUACGAAAGCGUGGGUAGCGAACAGGAUUAGAUACCCUAGUAGUC
rnacentral:rRNA from 1 species